AGGGUUUUGAGUUUCUGGUUAAACACCAGAAACCUGCGGUGGUGUUGGUUUUGUUUAUGACUGAAGCAAUAUCCGUUGCGCUCGAUCAGCUUGGAAAAAGGAGGAACCAGUGCAAGAAAAUCAAAGGCUGAGAGGGAGCUUCUUGUUGUUGAAAUUGUCUUCUCUGUGGUCCAAUUGAUCGCUUCUUUGGCUCACUAUAUCAUGACACUUUUGGGUGUCAAGUAUAAUUACAACUCAUUGAUUUUUCCAUUAGCCUUUGCUACAAUUGCCGUUGUCUUCCUGUUCCUAAAGAAUGAAAGGGUUGCCGAUUCCUCUCAUGACCAAACACAAAAUAUUUCAUCACAAGAAAGUUCACAUUCUAUAAAUAUUCCUUCAUCAACUGAUUUUGCACCGAGCAGUGAUCCUAAUCAUGAGAAUCAACUAGUAAACUUCAGAUCCAGGUCUAUGCAGCGUAAUCAAUCAAAGAACAUCGUCGAGAACCUAGAGCUGGGAAUUGAUCUUCAAUAGCCAACAAUUAAAAUGAGAUCAAAUGAAGAUUUUGUUAGCUGGGGGAAGAUCUGCAGUUAUGUGAUAGAUCAGAGAAGAUUUCUGCAUGAAGAAUGUAGCAAGAACCAAGAAGCUUGUGCAGGUUGCAACAGUUUGAUAAGAGUACAUAUUAUCUUUUUUCCAGGUUCAUAUGCUGGACAGUGGAGCUCGUGAGUCUAUUGAUUUGUCAAAUUUUACCGGCUAUGGAGAUCUUUAUAAGAAACUGGCAGAAAUUUUUAACACAGAGGAAGAGCUCCUUGCAUCGGGAAGUUUCUA